rnacentral:tRNA from 1 species
AGUAAGGUCAGCUAAGCAAGCUUUCGGGCCCAUACCCCGAACAUGAAGACUAAUCCCCUUCCCCUACUA